CGGCCGCGGGAUUCGAUUAGAGUUUGAUUAUGGCUCANNACGAACGCUGGCGGCGUGCCUAAUACAUGCAAGUCGAGCGAAUCUAUUGGGAGCUUGCUCCCAAUAGAUUAGCGGCGGACGGGUGAGUAACACGUGGGUAACCUGCCUGUAAGACUGGGAUAACUUCGGGAAACCGGAGCUAAUACCGGAUAGUUUCUUUUCUCGCAUGAGAAGAGAUGGAAAGAUGGUUUCGGCUAUCACUUACAGAUGGACCCGCGGCGCAUUAGCUAGUUGGUGAGGUAACGGCUCACCAAGGCAACGAUGCGUAGCCGACCUGAGAGGGUGAUCGGCCACACUGGGACUGAGACACGGCCCAGACUCCUACGGGAGGCAGCAGUAGGGAAUCUUCCGCAAUGGACGAAAGUCUGACGGAGCAACGCCGCGUGAGCGAAGAAGGCCUUCGGGUCGUAAAGCUCUGUUGUUAGGGAAGAACAAGUACGAGAGUAACUGCUCGUACCUUGACGGUACCUAACCAGAAAGCCACGGCUAACUACGUGCCAGCAGCCGCGGUAAUACGUAGGUGGCAAGCGUUGUCCGGAAUUAUUGGGCGUAAAGCGCGCGCAGGCGGUCCUUUAAGUCUGAUGUGAAAGCCCACGGCUCAACCGUGGAGGGUCAUUGGAAACUGGGGGACUUGGGUGCAGANGNNNAGAGUGGNNUUCCACGUGUAGCGGUGAAAUGCGUAG
rnacentral:rRNA from 1 species